UUGUAGUCAUAUGCUUGUCUCAAAGAUUAAGCCAUGCAUGUCUAAGUAUAAGCAACUAUACGGUGAAACUGCGAAUGGCUCAUUAAAUCAGUUAUCGUUUAUUUGAUAGUACCUUACUACUUGGAUAACCGUGGUAAUUCUAGAGCUAAUACAUGCUAAAAACCCCAACUUCGGAAGGGGUGUAUUUAUUAGAUAAAAAACCAACGCCCUUCGGGGCUCCUUGGUGAUUCAUAAUAACUAAACGAAUCGCAUGGCCUUGCGCCGGCGAUGGUUCAUUCAAAUUUCUGCCCUAUCAACUUUCGAUGGUAGGAUAGUGGCCUACCAUGGUAUCAACGGGUAACGGGGAUGGGGCGGGGGCGGC
rnacentral:rRNA from 1 species